ACCUCAAGUCAUGUGAGAUUACCCGCUGAACUUAAGCAUAUCAAUAAGCGGAGGAAAAGAAACUAACAAGGAUUCCCCUAGUAACGGCGAGUGAAGCGGGAAGAGCACAAAUUUAAAAUCUACCUGGUUUUCAGGUCGAGUUGUAAUUUGAAGAUACGUUUUUGAUGUUCCAGGUUGGACUAAAUCCUUUGGGAUAAGGUAUCAUAGAGGGUGAGAAUCCCGUAUAUACCAACCGUAGGGAUGUUAUUAAAUACGUUUCUAAGAGUCGAGUUGUUUGGGAAUGCAGCUCUAAAUGGGUGGUAAAUUUCACCUAAUGCUAAAUAUAAGCGAGAGACCGAUAGCGAACAAGUACAGUGAUGGAAAGAUGAAAAGAACUUUGAAAAGAGAGUUAAAUAGUACGUGAAAUUGUUGAAAGGGAAACGAUUGAAGUCAGUCAUGCCGGUGGGAAUCAACUUAGGGGAAACUCUGGGUGCACUUCUUCGCUUGGCAGGUCAACGUCGAUUUUGAAUGUCAUAAAAUAAUUGGGGGAAGGUAGCUCCUUCGGGAGUGUUAUAGCCCUUGAUAGAUGUGAUGUUUGAGGUCGAGGAUUGCAACGGAUACCCUUCGGGGCUAGCUGCCUGAUCUCUAAUUGGUGUUGGGUUACGGAUAGCAUGCUGACCGUGAUCUAAUUACUGGUUAAAAGGUUAGAGUGUGCAUAAAUUCGUUAAGGACGUUGACGUAAUGGCUUUAAACGACCCGUCUUGAAACACGGACCAAGGAGUCUAACAUGUAUGCGAGUGUUAGGGUAUUAAACCCAGACGCGAAAUGAAAGUGAGUGUAGGUGGGAUCCUUUAUUGGAGCACCAUCGACCGAUCUUGAGAUUUAUCGAUAGANNNNNNUAGAGC
rnacentral:rRNA from 1 species